rnacentral:rRNA from 1 species
UACAGAGGUCUCGAGCGUUAAUCGGAAUUACUGGGCGUAAAGCGCGCGUAGGUGGUUUGUUAAGUUGGAUGUGAAAUCCCCGGGCUCAACCUGGGAACUGCAUCCAAAACUGGCAAGCUAGAGUAUGGUAGAGGGUGGUGGAAUUUCCUGUGUAGCGGUGAAAUGCGUAGAUAUAGGAAGGAACACCAGUGGCGAAGGCGACCACCUGGACUGAUACUGACACUGAGGUGCGAAAGCGUGGGGAGCAAACAGG